GCGCUCAACGAUUGGUUCCUGCGCCAGCUUGGCAAGUGGAGCCGAACGUGCCCGGUGCGGAGCGGUGAGCUGCGCAAUGCGGAGAAUUUCAUCUGCCGCGAGGAGACCAAGAAGGACCUCGUCGACUACGUGUU
rnacentral:SRP_RNA from 1 species